UUAAUUGCCACAAGCAGAGCAAAGGAAGCAUGUUUGCACAUGCGAAUCGGUUCCCUCUGAGUGUUUUCGUUUUCCCCUUCGUGGAUGCUGGCAGAGUGGGUAGGAACAAGGAGGAACAACUUCUAACCCCACAGCUCUGCUUCUUCCAUCCUUCCCCCUUGCCCUUUGUUCUCUCCUGCAAACAAAGGAGUUUCUCCUACCGGGCUUCUCCUCAGCCUACCAGGUCUGGCUCCUUUCUGCUCCCAUUCCCCCGUGGUCCCUUCCCCCACGGCCUUGUGUGUCUCCUGCCCAUUCCCACUGCUUUUCCAUCCUCCCUCCCAUCACUGCUGGCUCUUUGUUCCCACAGGGCUCUGGAGAUGUGCAGCAGGAGCUCAGCUCUUUCUUUUAAAUUAAUUUUAUUUCUUUUUUUCUUCUUUUUUUUAAUUUUAUUUUUUCAGGAAGGAAACAUGGAACAUUUGAAGGCCCACUGACUGCAUAUGAGAAGAUAGCAGAGAAAAGCAGCAACCAUCAUAUGCCUUAAGAAAAUGCUAGCAUUAAACACAGCCAUGUUUUCCUCUAGAAGAUGCACAAGUCCCAAGAAAGACAGUCUGCAACUUGCAUGCAGCUGUGACAGAUUGCUGUGUAAGUGAUCUGUGCAAGACUAAGAACUUUCCUUCACAGCAAGUCUAACAACAUUUUAAAAAAUGCCUUUAUAUCUGUAAAGGAAAAAGAAGAAGGUGGGGGUGAAGCUGCCUCAUAAGGUUUUCAGAGAGCUCUUACCCAUAGAAAUAAUGAAUGUAUUUUCAAAUCUGUGUACAGAUGUUUCACAAGGAGCUACAGCUUUCUGCGGUGGAGUACAGCAAUGCCUCACUCAGGUGCACAGUAUUAACCUGCUGCCAUGAAGGUGGUCUGGAACAGUUCAUAUUCCACCAAAAGCGCUCCGUCGCUUUCAAUUCCGGCUGUUCCCGCUGCUUUCGGCUCUCAAACACGUUCAUUGUCAGGUGGCGUGGAGCUGAGGAAAAGCUGAGGCAAGAGAGGACCCACCACCACCACCACUGCUCUUGUUCCCUUUCCCUUGCGACUUGUGCAAGGGGUGAGCAGUCCUUCUCUCCCUGUCACCUGCACGGAGCUGUCUGCGAGUUCUUCUUCGGGGCCAGCCCCUCCUGGCACUCGGCUGUUUCAGGACCGAGAUGCUCGAAAUGUCGCCUUGAAAGCACAAACGCAGAGUUGGCGCUGCCGUGCUCAUGCGGGGCUUGAGAGCUCCUGGGUUUUGCUAGGUCGGGAUUGCUUGUUUAGACCGGAGCACCUUCAGUGAAAUAAACACCUGAUAGCGAAAAGAUCA
rnacentral:lncRNA from 1 species